GCUCAUGGGUCUACUUUCCCAUACUGUUUUUAAUGGUGGAUGCCAUGCUCUUGGGGCUCAAAGGAGAAUAUAUAUUCCUUACAACAACAAAACAAGGAAACUUGCAAAAGUUAUGCCAAGAAAAUAUGGAUGACUUCACUUCGGAGGAGCUUCAUACUUGGAGUGUGUUUUAUGAAACAUGGCCAGCAAAACCAUUAAAGUACGGUUUGUUUAUUACCCGAAAUGUCAGAAGCUUCUCAAAGAGUUGAUCAAACAUCUGGUGAGCAAAGGUCAUUUUCAAACUUCAACAUGAUACUUGUUUUUUAGUCUGAUUUUGUACACAUUGCCCUUCUAUGAUAUUAGAUUUUUUUUUGUACACUAGCAAACAUUUUGAACUACAUUUUUUUUUUUUUUUGCCACUUUCACUGCCAAAUUUGCUAUUAUAUGAUCAUUUUAAGAAUGGAUGGAUUUAUGUGCUUCUUGAUUGUAAUUAAAACCCAAAUUUGCUGGAUGGUUACUUUCAGGGUAAGCUGAUGAAUGGUUAGGAAAUAGUAGGGAAAAGGCUUUCCAAGAAUUUUGGGCAAGGGAAUGAAAAAUUCAAAAAUGAGGUUUUGGUGAUUGUAAAACUUCAACACAUGAA